GUUCUAGGAGGGGAUGAAGUGAAGACCAAGCAGCCGGGAGGUGGCUGCAGGUGGGCACGUCUCCUCUGCACUGCCAGGGAGCGGCGGGAGCCUGCGUGUCCCCCAGCACCCCUGGGCCUUCCGGGGGAUGCCGGGGAGGAUUUUGGGACGCAGGGCUCAGCCAGAGGGAAACCAACGGAGUGCCCUGCUUUGGAAGGAGCCUGUGGUCACACAUGGUGGCUGUGGCUUGCGCGUCCCUCAGAUGGCCCCUGACUCUGACCAGAAAUAAUAUGCUCAAGGCCGAAGGAAUUCAGCUGCUGAAUGGACCCUUAGCAUGCCAAGAGCUUUACAACACAGAAGCAAAGCUUGGGAUGGAGGUCGGACGCGGUUCCAUCUCUGGCUGGUGAAGCAUAAAAAAGAGCUGUCAUGCCCAGUUUUAAUAGGCAAUAGGAUUUCAAGCCCCCAGAGUUGUUUCACAGUCUGGCAGUGGCCAUAAUGAAACUGGCCACUGUUGCCACAAGACUUUUUCCUCUCAUGCGUUCUCCCCUGUUACCUCCCACAGCUGCCUGACUGGCAGGUCUCUUGUAAACUGCAAACGUAUUUACAUUGGAGCUGGUAGUAUUUCUUUAGCGAUCUGUGCCACCUUUCUCCCUCUUUCCCCACCCCCCCCACCUUCCCUUUGCCUAGCUAGAGACUCAACCUUAAGUCUAAUUUUAAAGAAUAAAAUUAAACAGUGCAUGCAAUUAACUGCCUUUGAGUGCGAACAGCAGUUCAUUUUCAUGUGUUUUGUUGUGAAGCAAAUAGCUUGUUUGUUUGUUUGUUUUUUCACACUGAUUUCCAAAUAAAUGGGAAAGUACCACUAUUCACUCGCCUAGGAUUUAUUCAUGAAAAUGCAAUCACAUCCUCCUAGACUCCGGGCAGAGCGAGGUGGGGGGGUCCUUUCUCUGCACGGCAGUCGGUGUCUCACUCUGCUCUGCAGCUCUGGAAAGAGCCAGGCUAACCUAAGCCAAUAUAUAUAAAUAUAUAUAUAUAUAUAUAAAUAUAAAAAUAAAAGAUACCUCUCUCACCUCUUUGAGGGACAGGCAUGUUAGUAACACUGAUCAGCUGCCACCAUGGGAGCUCUCCAUCCCUGUUGAACACUAAGCUUUAUUUAAUUUAUUUUUCUGUAUUGUGUUUUUAAAAUAAACACUGUGCCGUAUUUUAAAACUGAAUCAGAUUAGUCUGUUUGGGGACACACUGUAACCCAUUGCAAAGAGCCACGGACUUGUUUGCCAUUACUUCCCAAACGUAGUCAGUUGUACGCUGCAACUCACCCGUCAGCUCCCUUUCCCUCCUAACAAAGAGGGAAGACUGGAUCAGGAGGGAUCAUCUCCAUAGAAAUUGUGUUGGCACAACCUAGACUGGGCAUAAGUAAGGGUACAGACUAAGAAAAUGAGAGCGAUUGAUUCUUUCAGGCUCUCAAAUCACAAAAUGCAGCCGGUCUUCUACAUUUGGUUUCUCUGCAAUGUGGCGUGUAAAGAGACCCCAGUUCCCAGUGACGGUCUCAGUGACAUAAAACUGCUCUGUUUUCCUUGUUCAGGGACAAUUCAUGUCUUUCUUAUGAUUUUUAAGCUAGAACGUAAUAUCUUCCUUAUUGCAAAAUUUCCAGGUAUUAGGGGAACUGAGGAUUUCUAAGCACAGAUGGCCAGAUCUGCAGAAUUUGGAUCAUUUCAGGGUGCUUGAAGCCUGGGAAAGUUGAUUUGGCCCUCUGCAAUGACAGGG